rnacentral:rRNA from 1 species
AGGAAUAUUGGUCAAUGGGCGAGAGCCUGAACCAGCCAAGUAGCGUGCAGGAUGACGGCCCUAUGGGUUGUAAACUGCUUUUAUAAGGGAAUAAAGUGAGAGUCGUGACUCUUUUUGCAUGUACCUUAUGAAUAAGGACCGGCUAAUUCCGUGCCAGCAGCCGCGGUAAUACGGAAGGUCCGGGCGUUAUCCGGAUUUAUUGGGUUUAAAGGGAGCGUAGGCCGGAGAUUAAGCGUGUUGUGAAAUGUAGACGCUCAACGUCUGCACUGCAGCGCGAACUGGUUUCCUUGAGUACGCACAAAGUGGGCGGAAUUCGUGGUGUAGCGGUGAAAUGCUUAGAUAUCACGAAGAACUCCGAUUGCGAAGGCAGCUCACUGGAGCGCAACUGACGCUGAAGCUCGAAAGUGCGGGUAUCGAACAGGAUUAGAUACCCUGGUAGUCCGCACGGUAAACGAUGGAUGCCCGCUGUUGGUCUGAACAGGUCAGCGGCCAAGCGAAAGCAUUAAGCAUCCCACCUGGGGAGUACGCCGGCAACGGUGAAACUCAAAGGAAUUGACGGGGGCCCGCACAAGCGGAGGAACAUGUGGUUUAAUUCGAUGAUACGCGAGGAACCUUACCCGGGCUUGAAUUGCAGAGGAAGGAUUUGGAGACAAUGACGCCCUUCGGGGUCUCUGUGAAGGUGCUGCAUGGUUGUCGUCAGCUCGUGCCGUGAGGUGUCGGCUUAAGUGCCAUAACGAGCGCAACCCCUCUCCUUAGUUGCCAUCAGGUCAAGCUGGGCACUCUGGGGACACUGCCACCGUAAGGUGUGAGGAAGGUGGGGAUGACGUCAAAUCAGCACGGCCCUUACGUCCGGGGCUACACACGUGUUACAAUGGCAGGUACAGAGAGACGGUCCCUUGCAAAAUGGAUCAAAUCCUUAAAGCCUGUCUCAGUUCGGACUGGGGUCUGCAACCCGACCCCACGAAGCUGGAUUCGCUAGUAAUCGCGCAUCAGCCAUGGCGCGGUGAAUACGUUCCCG